rnacentral:rRNA from 1 species
UGGGGAAUAUUGCACAAUGGGCGCAAGCCUGAUGCAGCAACGCCGCGUGAGUGAAGAAGGCUUUCGGGUCGUAAAGCUCUUUCGGCCGGGAAGAAGGGUGAUCCUGUGAAUAAUUGGAUCAUUUGACUGUACCGGAAUAAGAAGCACCGGCUAACUACGUGCCAGCAGCCGCGGUAAUACGUAGGGUGCGAGCGUUGUUCGGAAUUACUGGGCGUAAAGGGCGCGUAGGCGGGUUUGCAAGUCGAUUGUGAAAUCCCAGGGCUUAACCCUGGAAUUGCAGUCGAAACUGCAAGUCUUGAAUGUCUGAGAGGGUGGGAGAAUUCCUGGUGUAGUAGUGAAAUACGUAGAUAUCAGGAGGAAUACCGGCGGCGAAGGCGCCUACCUGGCAGUACAUUGACGCUGAGGCGCGAAAGCGUGGGGAGCAAACAGG